rnacentral:rRNA from 1 species
ACUCCUACGGGAGGCAGCAGUGGGGAAUCUUGGACAAUGGGGCGAACCUCGAUCCAGCCAUGCCGCGUGAGUGAUGAAGGCCUUAGGGUCGUAAAGCUCUUUCGCCUGUGAAGAUAAUGACGGUAGCAGGUAAAGAAACCCGCGUAAUCCGUGCCAGCAGCCGCGGUAAUACGGAGGGGUUAGCGUUGUUCGGAAUUACUGGGCGUAAAGCGCACGUAGGCGGAUCGGAAAGUUGGGGUGAAAUCCCGGGG